ACGGCUCAGUAACACGUGGAUAACCUGCCCAAGGGUCCGGGAUAACCCCGGGAAACCGGGGAUAAUACCGGAUGGAUCACUUAUGCUGGAAUGCUUGGUGGUCGAAAGGUGACGCCCUUGGAUGGGUCUGCGGCGGAUUAGGUUGACGCCGGUGUAACGUACCGGCGUGCCUGUAAUCCGUACGGGUUGUGGGAGCAAGAGCCCGGAGAUGGAUUCUGAGACACGAAUCCAGGCCCUACGGGGCGCAGCAGGCGCGAAAACUCUACAAUGCAGGCAACUGCGAUAGGGGGACAUCGAGUGGCAUCCACCUUGGGUGCCUGUCCCACCGUCUAAAAAACGGUGGUUAGCAAGGGCCGGGCAAGACCGGUGCCAGCCGCCGCGGUAAUACCGGCGGCUCGAGUGGUGGCCGAUAUUAUUGAGUCUAAAGGGUCCGUAGCCGGCUUUGCAAGUCCCCUGGGAAAUCCAGCGGCUUAACCGUUGGGCUUUCAUGGGAUACUACAUUGCUUGGGACUGGGAGAGGUAGGAGGUACUCGGGGGGUAGGGGUGAAAUCCUGUAAUCCCCCGGGGACCACCGGUGGCGAAGGCGUCCUACCAGAACAGGUCCGACGGUGAGGGACGAAAGCUAGGGGCACGAACCGGAUUAGAUACCCGGGUAGUCCUAGCCGUAAACGAUGCCCGCUAGGUGUCACGGCGGUCGUGAAUCGCCGUGGUGCCGUAGGGAAGCCGCGAAGCGGGCCACUUGGGAAGUACGGCCGCAAGGCUGAAACUUAAAGGAAUUGGCGGGGGAG
rnacentral:rRNA from 1 species